UACGGAGGGUGCAAGCGUUGCCCGGAAUCACUGGGCGUAAAGGGCGCGUAGGCGGCUCAUGAAGGCUGUGGUGAAAGUCCGGGGCUCAACCUCGGAUCGGCCGUGGCGACUCGUGGGCUGGAGCACUGUAGAGGCGGGUGGAAUUCCGGGUGUAGCGGUGGAAUGCGUAGAGAUCCGGAAGAACACCAGUGGCGAAGGCGGCCCGCUGGGCAGUGGCUGACGCUGAGGCGCGACAGCGUGGGGAGCAAACCGG
rnacentral:rRNA from 1 species